rnacentral:rRNA from 1 species
ACGGGUGAGUAACGCGUGAGGAACCUGCCUAGGAGUGGGGAAUAACAGUCCGAAAGGACUGCUAAUACCGCAUAAUGCAGUUGGGUCGCAUGGCUCUGACUGCCAAAGAUUUAUCGCUCUUAGAUGGCCUCGCGUCUGAUUAGCUAGUUGGUAGGGUAACGGCCUACCAAGGCGACGAUCAGUAGCCGGACUGAGAGGUUGGCCGGCCACAUUGGGACUGAGACACGGCCCAGACUCCUACGGGAGGCAGCAGUGGGGAAUAUUGGGCAAUGGGCGCAAGCCUGACCCAGCAACGCCGCGUGAAGGAAGAAGGCUUUCGGGUUGUAAACUUCUUUAACAGGGACGAAGAAAGUGACGAUACCUGUUGAAUAAGCCACGGCUAACUACGUG